GGGGAGGUAGGCUAGCUUGGUAGGCUUUCAGGUUUGGGUCCUGAAGACCCGAGUUCAAAUCUCGGCCUCCCCG
rnacentral:tRNA from 1 species